AUUUCUAGAAAGCAGCACUGGUCAUAAUGGUUUUUAGCACUCUGCAGCACCCCAGAUACUAUCACUUGGUUGCUUUAGUGCAAAAUCGCCAGACUCCGUUUAUGAACUCACCAUGCCCAUUAUCAAAACUGUGGUGAGUGAAUUUUAGUUUCUGCAGUAAGACUCUCUAUAUACUUCUUUAAUAAAAAUGAACUCAAGGUACUUUCUCCCCUUCUACAUACAUCUAUUUAUUUAUCCUUCUGUAGAAAACUGAGAUUCUCCCACAGAAACAAAGGAUUUCUGCUGAAUCAGACCAAAGGUCUACAUAUAGUCUAACAUCCUGUUCCUGCAGUGGCCAACAAGACGCCUAUGCGAAGUCCACCAGCCAGAC